AGAGUUUGAUCAUGGCUCAGAACGUACGCUGGCGGCACGCCUAAUACAUGCAAGUCGAACGAAGUAGCAAUACUUAGUGGCAGACGGGUGAGUAACAUGUAGGUAUCUUCCCAUUGGUGAGGAAUAACACGAGGAAACUUGUGCUAAUACCUCAUAAGUCUUUACGGAGAAAGCUUUAUGCGCCGAUGGAUGAGCCUGCACUUGAUUAGUUUGUUGGUAGGGUAAUGGCCUACCAAGACAAUGAUCAAUAGCUGAUUUGAGAGGAUGAUCAGCCACAUUGGGACUGAGACACGGCCCAAACUCCUACGGGAGGCAGCAGUAGGGAAUCUUGCACAAUGGGGGAAACCCUGAUGCAGCGAUGCCGCGUGAGUGAAGAAGGCCUUUGGGUUGUAAAGCUCUUUCGUCGGGGAAGAAAAUGACUGUACCCGAAUAAGAAGGUCCGGCUAACUUCGUGCCAGCAGCCGCGGUAAUACGAAGGGACCUAGCGUAGUUCGGAAUUACUGGGCUUAAAGAGUUCGUAGGUGGUUAAAAAAGUUGGUGGUGAAAUCCCAGAGCUUAACUCUGGAACUGCCAUCAAAACUUUUUAGCUAGAGUAUGAUAGAGGAAAGCAGAAUUUCUAGUGUAGAGGUGAAAUUCGUAGAUAUUAGAAAGAAUACCAAUUGCGAAGGCAGCUUUCUGGAUCAUUACUGACACUGAGGAACGAAAGCAUGGGUAGCGAAGAGGAUUAGAUACCCUCGUAGUCCAUGCCGUAAACGAUGUGUGUUAGACGUUGGAAAUUUAUUUUCUGUGUCGCAGCGAAAGCAAUAAACACACCGCCUGGGGAGUACGACCGCAAGGUUAAAACUCAAAUGAAUUGACGGGGACCCGCACAAGUAGUGGAGCAUGUGGUUUAAUUCGAAGAUACGCGCAGAACCUUA
rnacentral:rRNA from 1 species